GCCAGCCCGCUCAGAACUUAAAGGAAUUGACGGGGCCCGCACAAGCGGUGGAGUAUGUGGUUUAAUUCGAUGCAACGCGAAGAACCUUACCUGGUCUUGACAUCCCGGAGACCCUUAGGAAACUAGGGGUGCUUCCAUCUGGAAGAAUCUGGAGACAGGUGCUGCAUGGCUGUCGUCAGCUCGUGUCGUGAGAUGUUGGGUUAAGUCCCGCAACGAGCGCAACCCUUGCCUUUAGUUGCCAGCAGUUCGGCUGGGCACUCUAAAGGGACUGCCGGUGUUAAACCGGAGGAAGGUGGGGAUGACGUCAAGUCCUCAUGGCCUUUAUGACCAGGGCUACACACGUACUACAAUGGCCGAUACAAAGGGCAGCGACACUGCGAGGUGAAGCCAAUCCCGUAAAAUCGGUCUCAGUCCGGAUUGGAGUCUGCAACUCGACUCCAUGAAGUUGGAAUCGCUAGUAAUCGUGGAUCAGCAUGCCACGGUGAAUACGUUCCCGGGCCUU
rnacentral:rRNA from 1 species